rnacentral:misc_RNA from 1 species
AAUGGGAGCGGGCUUGCUCGCGAAGGGGAGGCAUCAGUCGAUAUCUUCGUUGACUGAUACUCCGCCAUCGCGGGCAAGCCCGCUCCCACA